UACGAAGGGGGCUAGCGUUGUUCGGAAUUACUGGGCGUAAAGCGCGCGCAGGCGGCUUUCCAAGUCAGUGGUGAAAGCCCGGAGCUCAACUCCGGAAUUGCCAUUGAAACUGUAAAGCUUGAGUACUAGAGAGGUGAGUGGAAUUCCCAGUGUAGAGGUGAAAUUCGUAGAUAUUGGGAAGAACACCGGUGGCGAAGGCGGCCAUCUGACCCGUAAUUGACGCUGAGGCGCGAAAGCGUGGGGAGCAAACAGG
rnacentral:rRNA from 1 species